UACAGAGACUGCGAGCGUUAUUCGGAUUCACUGAGCGUAAAGGGUGCGCAGGCGGCCAAGUGUGUGAGGCGUGAAAGCCCGGGGCUUAACCCCGGAAUUGCACCUCAAACUACAUGGCUAGAGCAUUGGAGAGGGUAGCGGAAUUCACGGUGUAGCAGUGAAAUGCGUAGAUAUCGUGAGGAACACCAGAGGCGAAGGCGGCUACCUGGACAAUUGCUGACGCUCAGGCACGAAAGCGUGGGGAGCAAAAGGG
rnacentral:rRNA from 1 species